rnacentral:lncRNA from 1 species
UUUAUUUAUUUAUUAAUGAAAUGCACAUUUAUACCCCUGGGGAUUGAAGGCAUAUACAAACAAUACAAUACAAUAUACACAUAUAAAAAUUAACAUAUUCAAACAUCAUAUAUAAAGUGGUAAAACAGUAAUAUUUAUGCAGGCGUUGUGUCCACUCCCCUCAGUGCAAAUGACUUUUUAAUGAACGGAACAGUAAGCUGCAUAAUAUCAAAUGAAGAUAGAAUUAAUUGUAAUCUAUCUGUUUCAGACAAAUUAAAGUAUUCUGGACAUAUAUUAUUUAUAUCUUUUUCAAGCUGAUUACGUAAAGAUUUAUUAAUUUUACAUUUUAAGAAAAAGUGGGUUUCAUCUUCAACCGCAUUUAAAUUACAAUGUUUACAUAUUCUAUUUUCUCUUUGAAUUCUUUUAUAUCUACCCCUCUCUAUUUCCAAGAAAUGGUCACUUACUCGCAUUUUACAUAAUAAUUUUCUAUUUUCAAAACUAUUUUUAGAAAUGUAUUUGUCUAUUUCAUAUUUUGUUUUUAUUUUACUGUACAAGAAUAUUUUACUGGUUUCAUUAGUUAAUUUUAAUUUUUCAAAGAAAAUAUUUUCAAAGCUAUCUUUAAGUUCUUUUUUAAUAUUUUUUGAGAAUGACCUCUUCUCUUGUUUAUAGUUUAUAUCCUGAAUUUUAUUUAUGUCUAAUUUAUUUACAUUGGCUAUAUUUUCUACAUAUGAAAACCAUGAAAAUAUACCGUUAGUGCUAAGCCAUUUAGAUAAACAAAAUGCAUCAUAUAAUAAAGGGUUAUUUUCAUCACUAGAAAUUCUUGCUAAGUACUUCAAUGAUUGUACUUUAAUAAAGACAUCUAUGGGAUACUGAGCUAGUUCUGCUCUUGCAGCUAUAUUGACAGAUUGUUUACUAAGCCCAAGUAUAUAUUUGCAAAAUUUUAAAUGUGUCUUCUCCACUUGGCUACUAUCAAUCAUUGAUAAAAUAUCAAAUUUACUCAUGUCUUUAAUUUGAGCUCGUUUUUCAGCUCUUAUUAUUUUUUCAUAAAAAUCCAUAUACCAAAUUUCAGAGUUAUACAUAAGAAUAGGUUUAACUAGUGAUUCGAACAAUUUUUUAUAUACUUUUAUAGACACAUUUUCUAAAGGAGAAAGAUACUUAAAAAUAGAAAACAAAACUUUAGUACCUUUCUUAGCCAAUUCAGUGUGUGAUGAAGUCAAUUUCCCAGAUGCUUCAAUUAUAUUUCCAAGAUAUUUAUAUUUUAAAACUUUUUCUAGUUUGUCACCAUUUAAGUAAAAAUCAUAUUUAUUAUAUAAAAUGUUUUUCUGUUGAAAGACCAUUAUCUUAGUUUUUUGUGUAUUUAUUGUGAGCUGCCACUUAUUACAAUAAAAAUUUAGUUUAUUUAUAGAGUUCUGUAAACCUUCAGGAGUUUCAGAUAAUAACAAAAUGUCAUCUGCAAACAUAAGGCAGCUGAUUGACAUAUUUUGCAGAGUCACUGGUUUACAACUUUCAUCAAAUAUUUCUGGUAGAUCAUUUAUAUAAACAUUAAAUAAGUUUGGACUCAUAUUAUCCCCUUGUUUCACUCCUCUAUCAAUAGAGACAUAUUCAGAUAUAUUCUCCUUUAAUUUUACUGAAGCUUCAGUCAGUAUUCUUAUACAUAUUUUUUAUCAAAUUGUAAAAUUUUACACCAAUUUUCUCAUUUUUUGUUAUUUUGUACAAAAGACCUAACCUCCACACUGAAUCGAAUGCCUUUUUUAGGUCUACAAAACAACCAUAAAUCUUUUUCUUUUUAUAAUUUAUAUAUUUAUUAAACAGAGUCUUUACAAUAAAGACACCAUCUGAAGUCCUACUAUUCUUCUUAAAGCCUAGUUGAUGGUGACAUAUAUUAUUUUCAAAUAAAGUA